rnacentral:rRNA from 1 species
UACGUAGGGUCCGAGCGUUGUCCGGAGUUACUGGGCGUAAAGCGCGCGCAGGCGGCGGUGUAAGCAUGGAGUGAAAGCCCCAGGCUCAACCUGGGAGGGUCGUCGUGGACUGCACCGCUUGAGGGCGAUAGGGGCUGGUGGAAUGCCUGGUGUAGUGGUGAAAUGCGCAGAUAUCAUGGAGGAACACACGGUGGCGAAGGCGG